AAUAUCAAAGGUGAGCCAGUACAGGAUGGACCCGCGUCUGAUUAGCUAGUUGGUAAGGUAACGGCUUACCAAGGCGACGAUCAGUAGCCGACCUGAGAGGGUGAUCGGCCACAGUGGAACUGAGACACGGUCCAAACUCCUACGGGAGGCAGCAGUGGGGAAUAUUGCACAAUGGGCGAAAGCCUGAUGCAGCAACGCCGCGUGAGUGAUGAAGGCCUUCGGGUCGUAAAACUCUGUCCUC
rnacentral:rRNA from 1 species